GGCAGGCUUAACACAUGCAAGUCGAGGGGUAACAUUUUGUGCUUGCACAAAGAUGACGACCGGCGCACGGGUGCGUAACGCGUAUAGAACCUACCUUUAACUGGAGGAUAGCCCAGAGAAAUUUGGAUUAAUACUCCAUGGUAUCGAUUAAUGGCAUCAUUGAUUGAUUAAAGAUUUAUUGGUUAGAGAUGGCUAUGCGUUCUAUUAGCUGGUUGGUAUGGUAACGGCAUACCAAGGCAACGAUAGAUAGGGGUCCUGAGAGGGAGAUCCCCCACACUGGUACUGAGACACGGACCAGACUCCUACGGGAGGCAGCAGUGAGGAAUAUUGGACAAUGGAGGCAACUCUGAUCCAGCCAUGCCGCGUGCAGGAAGACUGCCCUAUGGGUUGUAAACUGCUUUUAUAGAGGAAGAAACCCCGGUAUGUAUACCGGUUUGACGGUACUCUACGAAUAAGGAUCGGCUAACUCCGUGCCAGCAGCCGCGGUAAUACGGAGGAUCCAAGCGUUAUCCGGAAUCAUUGGGUUUAAAGGGUCCGUAGGCGGGCUUAUAAGUCAGUGGUGAAAGUUUGCGGCUCAACCGUAAAAUUGCCAUUGAUACUGUAGGUCUUGAAUUAUUGUGAAGUGGUUAGAAUGUGUAGUGUAGCGGUGAAAUGCAUAGAUAUUACACAGAAUACCGAUUGCGAAGGCAGAUCACUAACAAUUAAUUGACGCUAAGGGACGAAAGCGUGGGUAGCGAACAGGAUUAGAUACCCUGGUAGUCCACGCCGUAAACGAUGGUUACUAGCUGUUCGGACUUCGGUUUGAGUGGCUAAGCGAAAGUGAUAAGUAACCCACCUGGGGGAGUACGUUCGCAAGAAUGAAACUCAAAGGAAUUGACGGGGGCCCGCACAAGCGGUGGAGCAUGUGGUUUAAUUCGAUGAUACGCGAGGAACCUUACCAGGGCUUAAAUGUAGUCUGACAGGGCUGGAGACAGCUUUUUCUUCGGACAGAUUACAAGGUGCUGCAUGGUUGUCGUCAGCUCGUGCCGUGAGGUGUCAGGUUAAGUCCUAUAACGAGCGCAACCCCUGUUGUUAGUUGCCAGCGAGUAGUGUCGGGAACUCUAGCAAGACUGCCGGUGCAAACCGCGAGGAAGGUGGGGAUGACGUCAAAUCAUCACGGCCCUUACGUCCUGGGCCACACACGUGCUACAAUGGUAGGUACAGAGAGCAGCCACUGGGUGACCAGGAGCGAAUCUAUAAAGCCUAUCACAGUUCGGAUCGGAGUCUGCAACUCGACUCCGUGAAGCUGGAAUCGCUAGUAAUCGGAUAUCAGCCAUGAUCCGGUGAAUACGUUCCCGGGCCUUGUACACACCGCCCGUCAAGCCAUGGAAGCUGGGGGUACCUGAAGUCCGUCACCGUUAAGGAGCGGCCUAGGGUAAAACUGGUAACUGGGGCUAAGUCGUAACAAGGUAACCGUAA
rnacentral:rRNA from 1 species